AUUGAACGCUGGCGGCAGGCCUAACACAUGCAAGUCGGACGGUAGCACAGAGGAGCUUGCUCCUCGGGUGACGAGUGGCGGACGGGUGAGUAAUGUCUGGGGAUCUGCCCGAUAGAGGGGGAUAACCACUGGAAACGGUGGCUAAUACCGCAUAACGUCGCAAGACCAAAGAGGGGGACCUUCGGGCCUCUCACUAUCGGAUGAACCCAGAUGGGAUUAGCUAGUAGGCGGGGUAACGGCCCACCUAGGCGACGAUCCCUAGCUGGUCUGAGAGGAGGACCAGCCACACUGGAACCGAGACACGGUCCAGACUCCUACGGGAGGCAGCAGUGGGGAAUAUUGCACAAUGGGCGAAAGCCUGAUGCAGCCAUGCCGCGUGUAUGAAGAAGGCCUUCGGGUUGUAAAGUACUUUCAGCGGGGAGGAAGGCGAUGUGGUUAAUAACCGCGUCGAUUGACGUUACCCGCAGAAGAAGCACCGGCUAACUCCGUGCCAGCCGCCGCCGUAA
rnacentral:rRNA from 1 species